CCUACGGGUGGCAGCAGUGAGGAAUAUUGGUCAAUGGACGAGAGUCUGAACCAGCCAAGUAGCGUGAAGGAUGACUGCCCUAUGGGUUGUAAACUUCUUUUAUCUGGGAAUAAAACGUUCCACGUGUGGGAUUUUGUAUGUACCAUAUGAAUAAGGAUCGGCUAACUCCGUGCCCGCAGCCCCGGUAAUUCGGAGGAUCCGCACGUUAUCCGGAUUUAGUUGGGUUAAAGGGAGAGUAGGUGGAUUGUUAAGUCAGUUGGGAAAGUUUGGGGCUCAAACGUAAUAUUGCAGUUGAAACUGGCAGUCUUGAGUAGAGGAGAGGUGUGCGGAAUGCGUGGUGUAGCGGUGAAAUGCUUAGAUAUCACGAAGAACCCCGAUUGCGAAGGCAGUACACUGGAUUGCAACUGACACUGAGGCUCGAAAGCGUGGGUAUCAAACAGGAUUAGAUACCCGUGUAGUC
rnacentral:rRNA from 1 species